AAUGAACGCUGGCGGCGUGCUUAACACAUGCAAGUCGAACGAGAAAGGGAUUGCUUGCAAUCCUGAGUAGAGUGGCGCACGGGUGAGUAACACGUAGAUAAUCUACCUUCAAGCCUGGGAUAACUAUUCGAAAGGAUAGCUAAUACCGGAUGAAGUGAUUUACCAUAAGGUAAAGCAUGAAAGAUUGCCUCUUCCUGAAAGCAAUUGUUUGGAGAUGAGUUUGCGGACCAUUAGUUAGUUGGUGGGGUAAAGGCCUACCAAGACUACGAUGGUUAGCUGGUCUGAGAGGAUGAUCAGCCACACUGGAACUGGUACACGGUCCAGACUCCUACGGGAGGCAGCAGUGAGGAAUUUUGCGCAAUGGGGGCAACCCUGACGCAGCAACGCCGCGUGAGUGAAGAAGGCCUUUGGGUCGUAAAGCUCUGUCGACAGGGAAGAAAUUAUAAUGAUCCAAUAGGUGAUUAUAUGACGGUA
rnacentral:rRNA from 1 species